rnacentral:rRNA from 1 species
UACGUAGGGCGCAAGCGUUGUCCGGAAUUAUUGGGCGUAAAGAGCUCGUAGGCGGCCCGGUAAGUCGGUUGUGAAAACCCGGGGCUCAACCCCGGGCCUGCAUCCGAUACUCCCGGGCUGGAGGCAGGUAGGGGAGAUCGGAAUUCCUGGUGUAGCGGUGAAAUGCGCAGAUAUCGGGAAGAACACCCGUGGCGAAGGCGGUUCUCUGGGACGGUACUGACGCUGAGACGCGAAAGCGUGGGGAGCGAUCCGG